GAAAAUCAAAUCAUUCGCCGAAGCGACGGAUAGAGGACGACACGAAGCGGUAGUGCUCACGACUUACUCCAAUGGCGGCGAUUUCCACCUUCAUUGCCCUAAUUUGACGAAAUUCUCCAGGAUUUGUUUCGCCUCUUUCUCUGCAUCGCCCCGGCGGCGGCAAUGUGCGCUUGGGGCGAUGCGUUUCUUCCUCACCGUCAUGAUCUCUGCCUCCUCCUCUCACCGCCCUCGCCUUCUUCGACGCUGCCGUCUUAGCCGCUUCGCCACCGCCUUCGUCGCCACUGCUGCUCUCCUUCUCGCCUCCGCCGCCUGGCUCUCCCUCGUCUUCUCCUCCACCAGUUCCCGUUGCUGGCGUCGCCUUAGGGAUUGGGAAGAUACCCAUCUCUGGAAUCGACGCUUCCAUCAUCCUUCUCCGUUUAUCUCCUCCGAGAAACCUCCUCCUCGUCCGCCUCCUCCGCCGUCUCUUCCCUCUCACUCCUUACUGGAUCAUGACGAGGGUCUCCACCCUCGGAAUCGUUCUCUCUGGGAGACAGGGGGACGGGAUCUGUCUCUUCGACACAUCGUGUUCGGUAUUGCGGGAUCGUCCCAGCUCUGGGGACGUCGCAAGGAGUUAGUGAGGCUGUGGUGGCGACCUACGCGGAUGCGUGGUCACGUUUGGCUUGAAGAGCAGGUUCCUCCUGGGGAAAGCGACGAUUCUCUUCCAGCAAUCAUCAUCUCCGAGGACUCUUCUCGCUUCCGUUACACCAAUCCCACCGGUCAUCCUUCUGGGCUUCGAAUCUCCCGCAUUGCCAUGGAGUCUUUCCGCCUAAAUCUUCCGGAUGUCCAAUGGUUUGUCCUCGGAGACGACGACACCAUCUUCAACACUGACAAUCUCGUCGCUGUACUCAGCAAGUACGAUCCCUCGGAGAUGGUCUAUGUCGGAAGCCCGUCGGAAUCUCACUCGGCUAACUCUUACUUCAGUCACAAUAUGGCCUUUGGUGGUGGGGGCAUUGCCAUUAGCUAUCCCUUGGCUGAUGCCCUCUCUCGUAUUCACGACGAUUGUAUCGAGAGGUAUCCCAAACUCUACGGCAGCGAUGAUCGUCUCCACGCCUGCAUCACUGAACUCGGAGUCCCUUUGUCCAAAGAACCCGGCUUUCACCAGUGGGAUAUUAAGGGCAAUGCUCACGGUCUCUUGUCCACUCAUCCUGUGGCGCCAUUCAUCUCCAUUCAUCAUGUCGAAGCUGUUAAUCCACUCUAUCCCGGGUUAUCAACUUUGGACAGUUUGAAACUUUUCACAAGAGCCAUGGCUUUGGAUCCAAAGAGUAUUUUGCAGCGAUCCAUUUGCUAUGAUCAUACUCGCCGCCUCACUUUUUCGGUCUCUCUCGGUUACGUUGUACAAGUUUUUCCAAAUAUACUCCUUCCCCGGGAGCUGGAGCGAGCUGAAGCUACCUUCUCUGCGUGGAACGGCAUAAGCCAUCCGAAUGAGUUUGAUCUUGACAUGAGGAUGCCUGUUUCGUCUAUCUGUAAGAGGCCUCUCCUCUUCUUCCUAAAAGAGGUAGGACGAGAAGGGAAUGCUACAACGGGAACCUAUUCGAGAGUAUCGAUGAAGGACGAUUUGAAGAGGAGACUUCUAUGCUUUCCUCGUGCUCGUUCUCUGCCAAAGGUGGAGAAAAUCCAGGUUCUGGGGUAUCCUCUCAAGAAGAACUGGCAUUUGGCACCCCGAAGGUUGUGUUGCAGACCAGUCCAAGCUACUAAUGAAUCUCUCAGUUUAGCAGUUGGACAGUGCGGAAAGAGAAUUUUGGGCUCCAUGACUAGUUAUCUCUGACCAAUGAACAUAUUGGAUUGAUACUGGAUCUGGGCAGUGGGCACAUUCGGUUCCUCUCCUGUGCUCGGGUUAAUGCAGGGAGAUAAGAUGGUUACAACUUGAGAGACUAUGGCCAUGUUUUUUGCUUGGCUUUGUAGUUUUACAUGGACCGAGAUAUGGAUGAUGAUGAUGAUGAUGAUAAGAAGAAGAAGAAGAAGAAAAAAGGAGAUUCCUUUUGUGUUCUGUGAAGUGAGGGGGGUACAACUGCAAGUGUACUUUUUUAGCUUUGACUUGAUGGGGUUAGGGGUCCAUUUGGUGUCAGAUUGAAAUCUCUGGAGAGGGAAGUGGUCUGGACGUUGUGUUUGAUUGAUUCACUGACAAACUACAAACAACAGCAACUCCUCCUCGUAUAGGGGCUCUGUUUUUGUUCCUUC